AUUGAACGCUGGCGGCAUGCUUUACACAUGCAAGUCGAACGGCAGCACGGGCUUCGGCCUGGUGGCGAGUGGCGAACGGGUGAGUAAUGCAUCGGAACGUACCGUGUAAUGGGGGAUAACGUAGCGAAAGUUACGCUAAUACCGCAUACGCCCUGAGGGGGAAAGCGGGGGAUCGUAAGACCUCGCGUUAUACGAGCGGCCGAUGUCGGAUUAGCUAGUUGGUGGGGUAAAGGCCUACCAAGGCGACGAUCCGUAGCGGGUCUGAGAGGAUGAUCCGCCACACUGGGACUGAGACACGGCCCAGACUCCUACGGGAGGCAGCAGUGGGGAAUUUUGGACAAUGGGCGCAAGCCUGAUCCAGCCAUGCCGCGUGAGUGAAGAAGGCC
rnacentral:rRNA from 1 species